UACGUAGGGUGCGAGCGUUGCCCGGAUUUAUUGGGCGUAAAGGGCGCGUAGGCGGCUCGGCACGUCCGUUGUGAAAUCGCCCGGCUCAACUGGGCGGGGUCAGCGGAUACGGCCGAGCUUGAGCAAGCUAGGGGGCAAUGGAAUUCCCGGUGUAGUGGUGAAAUGCGCAGAUAUCCGGAGGAACACCGGUGGCGAAGGCGGCUCCUGGACCGACACUGACGCUGAGGCGCGAAAGCUAGGGGAGCAAACGGG
rnacentral:rRNA from 1 species